UGGCGUACGGGUGAGUAACACGUGGAUGAUCUACCUUUUAGUGAGGAAUAACCAUGGGAAACCGUGGCUAAUACCGCAUGAGCUCGAGAGAGGAAAGUCGCAAGACGCUGAAAGAGGAGUCCGCGGCCGAUUAGCUAGUUGGCAGGGUAAAAGCCUACCAAGGCAAAGAUCGGUAGCCGGCCUGAGAGGGCACACGGCCACACUGGCACUGAAACACGGGCCAG
rnacentral:rRNA from 1 species